rnacentral:rRNA from 1 species
GACGAACGCUGGCGGCGUGCCUAAUACAUGCAAGUCGAGCGAAUCGACGGGAGCUUGCUCCCUGAGAUUAGCGGCGGACGGGUGAGUAACACGUGGGCAACCUGCCUAUAAGACUGGGAUAACUUCGGGAAACCGGAGCUAAUACCGGAUACGUUCUUUUCUCGCAUGAGAGAAGAUGGAAAGACGGUUUACGCUGUCACUUAUAGAUGGGCCCGCGGCGCAUUAGCUAGUUGGUGAGGUAAUGGCUCACCAAGGCGACGAUGCGUAGCCGACCUGAGAGGGUGAUCGGCCACACUGGGACUGAGACACGGCCCAGACUCCUACGGGAGGCAGCAGUAGGGAAUCUUCCGCAAUGGACGAAAGUCUGACGGAGCAACGCCGCGUGAACGAAGAAGGCCUUCGGGUCGUAAAGUUCUGUUGUUAGGGAAGAACAAGUACCAGAGUAACUGCUGGUACCUUGACGGUACCUAACCAGAAAGCCACGGCUAACUACGUGCCAGCAGCCGCGGUAAUACGUAGGUGGCAAGCGUUGUCCGGAAUUAUUGGGCGUAAAGCGCGCGCAGGUGGUUCCUUAAGUCUGAUGUGAAAGCCCACGGCUCAACCGUGGAGGGUCAUUGGAAACUGGGGAACUUGAGUGCAGAAGAGGAAAGUGGAAUUCCAAGU